rnacentral:rRNA from 1 species
AGAGUUUGAUCCUGGCUCAGUAAGUCGUAACAAGGUAGAGUUUGAUCCUGGCUCAGAACGAACGCUGGCGGCGUGCUUAACACAUGCAAGUCGAGUGCGCGUGCCGUAGCAAUACGGCAUGGCGCACGGCGCACGGGUGCGUAACACGUGGGCAAUCUGCCCUUCGAUGGGGAAUAACCUCGCGAAAGCGAGGCUAAUUCCGCAUAACAUUCCUUGGACUUCGGUUCGAGGACUCAAAGCCGCAAGGCGUCGAAGGAGGAGCCCGCGCACGAUUAGCUAGUUGGUAGGGUAACGGCCUACCAAGGCUUUGAUCGGUAGCUGGUCUGAGAGGAUGGCCAGCCACACUGGAACUGAGACACGGUCCAGACUCCUACGGGAGGCAGCAGUGGGGAAUCUUGCGCAAUGGGCGAAAGCCUGACGCAGCGACGCCGCGUGGGGGAUGAAGCAUCUCGGUGUGUAAACCCCUUUCGACUGGGACGAAUGCCUCGCAAGAGGAGUGACGGUACCAGUAGAAGAAGCCCCGGCUAACUCCGUGCCAGCAGCCGCGGUAAUACGGGGGGGGCAAGCGUUGUUCGGAAUUACUGGGCGUAAAGGGUGCGUAGGCGGUUCGUUAAGUUAGAUGUGAAAACUCUGGGCUCAACCCAGAGCCUGCAUCUGAAACUGGCGGGCUAGAGUUCUGGAGGGGGUAGCGGAAUUCCUGGUGUAGCGGUGAAAUGCGUAGAUAUCACGAGGAACACCGGUGGCGAAAGCGGCUACCUGGACAGAAACUGACGCUGAGGCACGAAAGCUAGGGGAGCAAACAGGAUUAGAUACCCUGGUAGUCCUAGCCCUAAACGAUGGAUACUUGGUGUGACCGGGAUUGAAUCCGGUCGUGCCGAAGCUAACGCAUUUAGUAUCCCGCCUGGGGGAGUACGGUCGCAAGGCUGAAACUCAAAGGAAUUGACGGGGGCCCGCACAGCGGUGGAGUAUGUGGUUUAAUUCGACGCACGCGAGAACUACUGGGCUCGACGCUAUGGAAGUGCGAAAGUCGCUUUCCCGCAGGGACACUAGUCAGUGCUGCAUGCUGUCGUUCAGUCCGGUCCUGAAUGUUGUUAGUCCGACAGGCAACCCUGCCUUUAAUGCCAGUAGCUGACCCUUAGGACUGCCGGUAAAACCCUCGUGGAGAAAAAUG